GGGCGGGGCUCAGUGGCAGAGCACUUGCUUAGCAUGUGUGAGGCCCUGGGUUCCAUCCCCAGCACCACUUA
rnacentral:tRNA from 1 species